UUAACAAUCCAGAACAUUAAUAGACUCCUUAUUACACAACUUUAAACAAUCAAUUGCAUCAAUUAACAUCGAAUCGAAGGAUUUCUAGAAUUUAGGGUUUUUACCUCUUUUCGCUUUGAUUUUUGAUUUCUGACUUCUUGAUGCUUCUGAUUUGUGGUUUGUGAUGGUUGGGCUUUGAUUAUGAGCUUAUGGGUAAGAUAAUUUCGUUGGUUAGAACUUGAGAGAGUGUGGCUAG
rnacentral:lncRNA from 1 species